UUGGAUGACUAGGUUGGGUAGUGCGUGAUAUUCUAAGAGAGAGAGGGGGAGAGAGAGACAGAGAGAGAGAGACAGAGAGAGAGAGAGAGAGAGAGACCGUUUAACAGGAGAUAACAAAGAUCAAUGAUUAGGGGACAGGGUAGCUUGUCCAAGAAGAUGAAGCUGAGCUUUGAGUUCAGUCUGCUGGGAUCUAGAGCCCCUUUCUUUUCACUACACUAAGGCAGACCAAAUGAGUAGAGGGAAGAAAAAGAAGAUUUGAACUGAUCUAAAAUACAGGAUCUGCCUCAGAUCCGUGUCUCACCGAGUAAUUCAAGCUCCCUGGAUGAAGUUCAAGCCAGGAUGGCUGAGAGUUCAAGACCAGCCUAGGGGUUUGCUGUCCUAAGUAACAAUAAACUCCAACCCCCAAAUGCUGCCUGAGAGAUCUGUAGCUUCAGCCUGGAUGCUAUCCUCACAGAGCUCAGUAACUGAAAGAGCGCACAGCNNNNNNNNNNNNNNNNNNNNNNNNNNNNNNGAGUCUCCUUUCCUCUGUUAACCCGACCUGUGAGCUGUGGCUCCGUUCUCUGACUUCCCUUUGCCCUUUAGUGGGCCUCUCAGUUCUAUCCUCCACAUCCAAGGCCUUCUCAUCUUUCACCUUGAACAGGAACCCAUGACCUCUUAAGAGGAUUUCUUGAACCUCUUAAGAGGAUUUCUGUCCAGGUGACUCUCCGUUCUAAUCCAUUCCUAAUCUUCUCACAGAGAAAGUGGGUUGUGCCGACUUCCUGCUUAGCCCUUCUGCUACCUCCCCUCACCCCCCCCCCCCCCCCCAAACUGAAAUCACCCUCCUUGUGUGGGCGGGGUGAUGGGCGUUUUGUGUGUGGCUCCUUGUUCUCCUGCACCGACUUUUCCUGUGCUGGUUAAAUGAGUGCAGUGUCCUUUCACAUCUUAAUGAAAGCUCUCAGCUCUUUGCCAGUGUAGUGGUUUGAAUGAGAAUAGCCCCUACAGGCUCUUAGGAUUGAAUAGCUAGGUCCCUAGUUGCUGGAACUC
rnacentral:lncRNA from 1 species